rnacentral:lncRNA from 1 species
GCGCAAGUCAGGUUCUCCGGUGUCUGGUGUGCGAGUGCAUGCCUGUCUCCCUUGAGCCUGCUCUGGACCUGAAAUCAGAAGAGAUGUGCUUUCUCUUCUUCUGAGGUGUGGAUGGUGGAGGCGGAGCAGCCUCGUGCUGGAGACGAGAAAACCUCCUUCUUCCAGUCCAAACCACCUGACGAUUUGGACACAAGCCCAUCAGCUGACAAAUGACCAUUUCGAGGCUUCCCUUGCCAAUCUACAUUUCAGUGGCAAAGCUAGGCUGAUUCAAUUAUUUGUACUUUUACCACACUGUAUCCCCAUUCUUUCGUUAAAAACUAGUGGAAAUUAAAAAUGAAAGUGUUGAAAUUAGCAAUAAUAAAAUCGAGACUGAGAUAAGAACCCCUAAGUGUUCAGAAUGACAAAUAUUUACCAUGAGGUUUACACUUCUUGAUCUUCAGCAUAUUGCUUAGGGGCUAAGUUGCUGCAAUAAAAUAUUAAAGAACAUGUACAAAAGAG